UCUCUCUCUCUCUCUCUCUCUCUCUUUAACCCUAUCCUCUCUAUCGGAAAUCUAUUGAAGACUCUCCUUCAACCGAUCAAUUGGAAGUCGCGAGCAUCGUCUUUAGGAUCCGAGACAAUAGCAGGGCUUUGGCAUGGGGUGUUGAUGAUAAAUUCCAUUGUGCUAUUUCUUUCAGACCUGGAGAUCAUUGAUGCUACCUAGCUUGGAAUGGAAUUUAUAUUAAAUUUCAUGCAUAUUGUCUCCAAAAUUAUUGCUAAUGAUCAUAUAUUCAUCCUUCUUAUCUAACUAAUGCUACAAGAUAUUGCUUAGGCCGACUUGUAGGUAUUCUUUUUUACAUUCGAAUUGUGCUAGUUAGCUUCUCUGCAUCAUCUUCAUUGUUGCUUGGCCUGGUUCAGUACUUAGGUUCUUCUGAAUCCAUAUAUUCUUAGUUCAAUGGUGGGUUUCCAGUGUAAAUUAUACUUUUAAAAAUUUAGUACAUGUAUGGAUUAAUCAUGAAUCCUUGGUCCCCACAAAUGAUAUAAGUUACUACUAUGCAACAACUCAAGAAUCGAUGGAACAUUUAGAAAGCGAUGUGAGUUGCAUGGGCGUAUUUGAUGAAUAUGACUAGUGGUUGGGGUUGGAAUACAACUCUAGGAAUUGUUGAUCCACCAAGUGAAGAACAUUGGAAUUCUUUUGUCAAGAAAUAUGUCUAUGGGAAGCAUUUUAGACGUACCCCCUUGAGUAAUGAAGAUGAACUACGAGAGUUAUUCCAUUGUACUGUUGUUGAUGGUGUAGAUACAAAUUAUAUGAAUAAAGAUAAACCACCGGCCUCUCCAAAAGGGGGUUUCUUCUUCCAACAAUGAAAUAAACUUGGAUGUUGAUGAUUCAAGUGAUGAUGGUGAUGAUGUCUUACUAGUUGAGACCUACAGGGCCAUAAUCCAAGUGGUCAAAUAUUGGUCAUAAUUGUGAGAUGAAUAAAACUCUCCCGAAAAUGCUUGCUUUUGAAAAACUGAAAAGAGAAGAGAUGGUUGGAGCAAAUAAGGACACUACAUUUAUUGAGGCUUACCAAAUUCUUGACUUUUUGGAGGGGAUUGAAAUUGGUAGUAACCGUCAUAUGAUUGCUUUGGAGGUACUUGAAGACUAAAACAAAAGAGAGGCAUUCACUUCGAUGAAUGAUUCGGCUCGCGUACCAUAGCUUCUUAGAGCGAUUGAAAGGAAUGUGAGAGAGGAUGCUGGAUCCUCCAUUUGAUAUGCGUUAUAGAAAAUUGAACUUUAUGUAGUUUGAAGACAUUUUAUUUUAUUUUUUU